AACUAAAUGAAUUGACGGGGGCCCGCACAAGCGGUGGAGCAUGUGGUUUAAUUCGAUGAUACGCGAGGAACCUUACCUGGGCUCAAAUGUAUGUUUGACGUAUUCUGAAAGGGAUACUUCUUCGGACAAUAUACAAGGUGCUGCAUGGUUGUCGUCAGCUCGUGCCGUGAGGUGUCGGGUUAAGUCCCAUAACGAGCGCAACCCCUAUCAUUAGUUGCCAUCAGGUAAUGCUGGGGACUCUAAGGAUACUGCCCCGGUUAACGGGGAGGAAGGUGGGGAUGACGUCAAGUCAGUAUGUCCCUUACGUCCAGGGCUACACACGUGUUACAAUGGCCGGUACAAUGAGUUGCGACCCUGCAAAGGUAAGCCAAUCUCAAAAAACCGGUCUCAGUUCGGAUUGCAGUCUGCAACUCGACUGCAUGAAGUUGGAAUCGCUAGUAAUCGUAGAUCAGCACGCUACGGUGAAUACGUUCCCGGGCCUU
rnacentral:rRNA from 1 species